GAUGUGGAUGCCAAACUGUCGCCGAGCGUAGCGAGGCGAAAAAAUUUUGAUGAUCUUUUUAUGCAGAAAAUUAUAUUUUUUUUUUUCGGACAAUUCCUAUUUGCACGUGUACUCCCCCAGAAUCCGACACUUGUUAGAUUUUUUAUGUAAUUUCAAAAUACCCACCCAUUCAUAUAUUUCCAACAUAGUUUUAUUGUUUUCUCAAAACUACCAUCAUUCAAUUUAUAAACAUGAUAAAUAUUUGAUGUAAAAGUUUCCACCAAAUCUUAUAUUUGACAUCUCAAAAACGGACCCAUUACAGCGGCACAUCUGUAUAUGCCGGAACUUCGGAACAUAGUGAUUAAUCUUUCGAUUAACGCGUUGCAGGGGACAUGGAAAUAUCGGGCGUCCGUCCCUCCGUCUGUUCGGUCUUGUUGGCACUCGCAUGUGUAUAAUUCUUGCCAGAUUUUUAUGAAACUUAAAUCAUCAGCAAUGUCUUUGACACUAUCAAAAAUAAGUCCUGGUCAAAUAUUUUUAAACGGUUAUGCCCCUUUGAAAUAAAAAUUAUAAUGGAAAUCCCAUUGCAUUUGCUCUGAAGCUUUUAUUUCUCUUUAGAUAUUAUUUUUAGUUAUUGGCCUUGCUUCUUGGAUAGAUAAAAAAAAUGCAAUAUGGCGAGCAUUGGCUCUUCUUUUAUUGAAAAAUUAUUAUUUGUAUCUAG
rnacentral:lncRNA from 1 species